AAGUUCAACCGGAAGGAAUUCCUUCUGGUUGAUGAGUUCAAUCUUCCUUGUCAACUGGAAGGGAUCCCUUCCGGUUGAUGAGGGAUAUCUUCCUCAUUGACCGGAAGGAAUCCCUUCUGGUCGAUGAGGUU
rnacentral:miRNA from 1 species